CGGUAACAGCUCAAAUUUGAAAUCUGGCUCUUUCAGGGUCCGAGUUGUAAUUUGUAGAAGAUGCUUUGGAUGUGGCUCCGGUCUAAGUUCCUUGGAACAGGACGUCAUAGAGGGUGAGGAUCCCGUAUGUGACCGGCUGCCUACGCCCGUGUAAAGCUCUUUCGAC
rnacentral:rRNA from 1 species